UAUAUCUAUUUCCUCCCUUUUUGCUAUGUCCCAGUGUGGCUGUAUGGAGAUGUGCACAAAGGCAGUCUUCAGUGAUGCAAUUGAGAUGUAAAGGUCACUGCCUGCAAAAUUUCUCUGUCCUGUGGAGAAUAAUUCAAAUACCAACCUUGGAGGUGCUUGGAGCAUCUCCAGUUCAGCUCUUCCACUGUUCUUGAAAAGAAAGAUCUUCUGCUGUUUGUCCUUUGGAAUAUAGAAAAAAACAGCUAGAGCCCCAAAAUGGCUUUUUUUGCACCUGCCUGCUGCCUCUCUGUCUCUUCCAGCUGAAAAGGAAGACUCCUAGAGCCCAUUGCCAUGUCCCC